rnacentral:rRNA from 1 species
UAGGGGUGAAAGGCCAGUCAAGAAAUAAGAUAACUUGAUUUUAAGGAAAUACUUUUAGGGUAAAAGACAGACGGUUAAUGACAAGGUUAACCAUUUAUAUAAGUGUAAAUUUUCAAUUUAUUUAUUUUUUAAUUACUUAAAUUUUUAUUAAAUUACUAUUCAAAUUUUGAAUCUGUAUAAUAUACUUAUAAACACACAGGAUGAUGUCUAGCUUAUAAUGUUGAUAUUAGUAAUUAAUAAAGUUUAUAUAAGGAAUUCGGCAAAUUUACUGGUCAACUGUUUAACAAAAACAUAACCGUAUGUAAAUAUAUUCGGCUAUUUCUGCUCAAUGAAGUUUUUAAAUAGCCGCAGUACUCUGACUGUGCAAAGGUAGCAUAAUCAUUUGGCUUUUAAUUGGAGUCUGGUAUGAAUGAAUAAAUGGCUAUUUACUGUCUAUUAAAAAUACUAUGAAUUUUUUUAAUAAGUGAAAAUACUUAUAUUAACAUAAUAGACGAGAAGACCCUUGAAAUUUUUACAAAAUGUAGGUAUACUACUGGUUUUUGUUGGGGCGACAGAAUAACAUCAAACUUAUUUUAUAUAUUUGUACUACUUAUUGCGAAAAGAAAAAUUACUCUAGGGAUAACAGCAUAAUUUUUAAUAGUUUGUGACCUCGAUGUUGGACUAGGGUCAACGUUAUCCAGAAGAUAACGUUGCAUGUUCUGUUCGAAC